rnacentral:lncRNA from 1 species
GCGGCCCGGAGGCGAUCUGUGCGCGAGGAGGCGCUGUGAAGACUGAGGCACAGCCCCUCCGAGGAAAGCCGAGAUUGUACGUUUCCUUGCCGGCUGAGCCGCGGCUCGUCCCCCGGAGCGACACAAAGAAGAAGUGGCCUUGCAUCCUGCUCCGCCUCCCGAGCCGGGUCCUUGGUCCCCGGAAGCCCUGGGCUGCCCCACUGGAGUUACCUUCUGUGCGUUCUCUCCUAAACCUACACGUUAUUCACGACUUUGUUCAUGACUAUGGAAAACAAAACAAAAACAAAAACCAAACCAAAGUUCCCUCGCCUGGCGAUGGUGCAAGCCUGUCUACCUGCUGGAGGAUGGUUGGAAUGUGCACACCUGGCUCGACCAAAAGAGGCACAGCUUAGGGGCGGCUUGGACCCAGCUCAAGUCUGGACUUGGCAGCUUUCCUGAGCCUGCCUAGGAAAGCAGGCUGGAGUGCAGGUGUCCCAGGGCUCUCUGGAGGAGCAGCAGCAACACCAUGCCUGGCUCUGGUGCCUUGGUCUCCUCGGAGAGGACGCUUGAAGGAAUGGCACUCAGCAGAGUACAGGCCCCGUAACAGUGCAGCGCAGCGACAUCCGCUGAGGACUGGACAGAAUGGUCCUGAUGCUUGGCAGUGAUCCGUACUUGGAUAACCCUCUGCAUGAAAGGGCAGUGAGCCAGGAACCUCAAGCCACCCGGGAGCAGGUGCCUACUUGGCGUUUUCUGAGACGAAAGGCAGCGGAGUGUGUAGCAAAGGUGGCGCUGGCUCUUGCUGCUUCUGAAGCUCCAUCUCGGCAGCCCUCUGCAGCGCCACCUCCACCAGCAACUGGAAGCUGCUGAAGUCAUCCUUGUCCUGCUCUGGGGGUGUGGGUGGUGGCGUAUUGAAGAGUCCACCCGUGGGGCUUCCAGCCUCUGCCCUAGUCAGCAGGGGUCACUGUAAAGCUCUGGCUGUUCUGGAACUCACUAUGUAGACCAAGGUGGCCUCAAAUGCUUCUUCUCCCUGAUUCCCAGGAUUAAAGCCACCAUGCUUGGGCUGGAGAGAUGGCUCACUGAUGUAAGAGCACUGAUUGCUCUUCCAGAGGUCCUGAGUUCAAAUCCCAGCAACCACGUGGUGGCUCACAACCAUCUAUAAAAAGGAUCUGAUGCCCUCUUCUGGUGUCUGAAGACAGCUACAGUGUACUCAUAUAAAUAAAAUAAAACUUAAAAAAUAAAAAAGC